GUUACCUUGUUACGACUUCACCCCAGUCAUGAACCACAAAGUGGUGAGCGUCCUCCCCGAAAGGUUAAACUACCCACUUCUUUUGCAGCCCACUCCCAUGGUGUGACGGGCGGUGUGUACAAGGCCCGGGAACGUAUUCACCGUAGCAUUCUGAUCUACGAUUACUAGCGAUUCCGACUUCAUGGAGUCGAGUUGCAGACUCCAAUCCGGACUACGACGCACUUUUUGGGAUUCGCUCACUCUCGCAAGUUCGCCGCCCUCUGUAUGCGCCAUUGUAGCACGUGUCUUGCCCUACUCGUAAGGGGCAUGAUGA
rnacentral:rRNA from 1 species